AAAGAUUCAGGUUUGUAAAAGAAGCUGCUAACUAUCUUUUAAAGCGGUUAAACUCCGUUUAUCUUUU
rnacentral:tRNA from 1 species